rfam:Ailuropoda melanoleuca scaffold2498_17, whole genome shotgun sequence.
CCAAAGGCUCUUUUCAGAGCCAACCUCCAUAGUCAUUGAAAGGGCUU